GUCUGGGUGUGCGGAGCGCGCGCGCGCGGCUCGGAGGCGCACCUGUGAGGUGUCCCCGGAGGAGCGGGGGCCGGUGGGCGCGCGGAGCCCGCGGCCUGGACGCUCUCCUCAGCCGCGCUCGGGAGUGAGCUGCGCCGGCCGACGGUGGAGUGACAGCGCCCAGGCCCGGCCGAGGCCGCCCCGCGUCCGGCCCCGGUGAUGAGGACCUCCCCGCGCCCCCGGCGCGCCAGCCCGCCGCCGCCGGACGCCUCCAUUGUCUGACCACCGCCCGGGCCCGGCCCUCCGCAGGAAAUGGAACUCAGUAAAAGCAAGAGCAAACCACCCCUCCACAACUCCAGGGUCUUCUAAAUGCCAGGCAUGUUAUCUGUCAUUGGAUUGAUGUUCCCAACAAAAAAGGCACUUUAAAACACAUGCACACACAUACACACACUUUCCAGAGGACAUGGUGUGUUCAAUUCCCAGAACCCACAUGGCAGUUCAUGCACAUGGUACACAGACAAUACAUGUAGGCAAAACACCCACACAUAUAAAAUAAAAAUACAAAGCUCUCCAAAUUUCAUCAGUAAUACUGUGUUUUUACAUUAGACUAAGCAAGUGGACAUAUUUGCUGAAACCCCUGACAGCUUCUGGGAACAUCAAUGUCGGUGAAGCUCUGACAAGAUCAGGUGCUGAAGACAACCACAGGAAAUCGUGGUUUGAUUUUGUGUUAGGGAUAGUGUGUUGGCUUUGGAAAGAGGUAGCCUGGAUAGACAUCUGUAAUAUACUAUUGAACAAAGACUCGAACUUCAUUCUAUUUUUAUAAGAUACAAAGCAAAAUAAUUAUGUGUUUGAAUAAAAACAAAAAUAUCUAGAAAGAGCCCGUGGAAACCAUGAUUACUUCUGCAGGGAAACACUAGCAGCCAGUGUGUGCUUUUGCAUUUUCUGAUGUGUAUGUGAGCAUUAACUUGUAGUGAAGAGGCUGUAAGUUCUGUCGUUUAACACAGAAUCACUGUGUUCAAGGCACACUACCAGUGGCACAUUCUUAUGUUAUAUUGGCCAUAUUGAUCAAGCUUUGCAGUACUUGUGUUUCCUGACGUGGGAACCAUUAAAGAAAUGUUUUUAAAUAUAAAAAGCCUUAUACACAAAAUAUGUAGAAUGAUCUUAAGGGUUUAAUUGUAGAAUGGUGAUGAUACAUUCACUAGAUAAUGCUGCCACGUAAAAUAUAUUUAAUAUAUAUUUAAAUAUAGGAUAUAUAUUAAAAUACGUGACUAUUAAGUAGAGGAGAAUCAGGAUACACAGCUGCAGACAUGCUAAAAAUAUGCAACAAUUUCAGUAAACUUUCACUAAAACCUUCGAAUGGAAAAAAGUCUACAAGAAAUUUGAAAAUGUUAUAAAUUGUGGACUUUGGGUAUUAGGAUCUUGAGCUCCUUAAUCUGUUCUUAAAUAGUUACAAAAAUUGUAUUUACAAUGGAAUGCUCAGUUUUAAAAAUUACAUUAUGUUGGGAUCUGUUAGCUAUAUAAUAAAAUUAUGUGAAUAUUG